CAAGUUACUGUCACAUCCUGGAGGAGAAAUAGGACUUUUUCGAUCCAGCCUAUCACAAAUCAUAGGAGACUUGAUGGAUAUUAAUUUGGUCAUCACCAGGUUUGGACUGGUUUCAUUUUGGAAAGAAAAACACAUGAAAUGCUUGAAUUAAUCUAAUACAAUCAGAGAAUCAAGCUCUCAAGGAAUAUACUGUAAGAGAACAAACAUCUAAGUAAUGGGGAGAGAAAAAAAUGAAGACAGUGGGAACAAGAGUGGAUCCAGCCCGCUUGACUGUGAUGACAAGGACUAACAGGACCAGCUGCCCUGUGGCAUUGUGGGACUGAGAACACCAAUAUUGAUGAGGGGCCAGUUUAGUCCCAACCUCCCCUCUAUGUCUGCAGGUCCAGUUCUGACAAGAGGAUAUUCACUAUGACUAAUGGAAGCCUCUCUCUGCGUUCCGUCUCUCUGUAUACCACUCCUCCUUUGAGAUAGAUGGAAU
rnacentral:lncRNA from 8 species